rnacentral:tRNA from 1 species
GCUUUCGUUGGCUUGCAUUUCAGACAUAUGCUGGAAGCGAAUAGUGGCGGAGUCCGCAUUGCAAGUGAGGUGCGUUAUCUCGACGAAAGUU